AUUGACCGCUGGCGGCAGGCCUAACACAUGCAAGUCGAGCGGAGCGGCGGACGGGUGAGUACUGCCUAGGAAUCUGCCUGGUAGUGGGGGAUAACGUCCGGAAACGGGCGCUAAUACCGCAUACUCUCAGAUGAACCUAGGUCGGAUUAGCUAGGGGGGGGGGUAAAGGCCUACCAAGGCUACGAACCGUAACUGGUCCGAGAGGAUGAUCAGUCACAGUGGAACGGAGAAACGGUCCAGAUGCCUACGGGCGGAAGCAGUGGGGAAUAGUGGACAAUGGGGGAAAUCCUGAUCCAGCCAUGCCGCGUGUGUGAAGAAGGUCUUCGGAUUGUAAAGCACUUUAAGUUGGGAGGCGUUACCAACAGAAUAAGCACCGGCUAACUUCGUGCCAGCAGCCGCGGUAAUAC
rnacentral:rRNA from 1 species